rnacentral:rRNA from 1 species
GCGUGGCGAUGCUUACCUGCAAGUCGAGCGGGGAAGGUUGCUUCGGUAACUGACCUAGCGGCGGACGGGUGAGUAAUGCUUAGGAAUCUGCCUAUUAGUGGGGGACAACAUUCCGAAAGGGAUGCUAAUACCGCAUACGCCCUACGGGGGAAAGCAGGGGAUCUUCGGACCUUGCGCUAAUAGAUGAGCCUAAGUCGGAUUAGCUAGUUGGUGGGGUAAAGGCCUACCAAGGCGACGAUCUGUAGCGGGUCUGAGAGGAUGAUCCGCCACACUGGGACUGAGACACGGCCCAGACUCCUACGGGAGGCAGCAGUGGGGAAUAUUGGACAAUGGGGGGAACCCUGAUCCAGCCAUGCCGCGUGUGUGAAGAAGGCCUUUUGGUUGUAAAGCACUUUAAGCGAGGAGGAGGCGCUCUAGGCUAAUACCCUAGAUGCGUGGACGUUACUCGCAGAAUAAGCACCGGCUAACUCUGUGCCAGCAGCCGCGGUAAUACAGAGGGUGCGAGCGUUAAUCGGAUUUACUGGGCGUAAAGCGCGCGUAGGUGGCUAAUUAAGUCAAAUGUGAAAUCCCCGAGCUUAACUUGGGAAUUGCAUUCGAUACUGGUUAGCUAGAGUAUGGGAGAGGAUGGUAGAAUUCCAGGUGUAGCGGUGAAAUGCGUAGAGAUCUGGAGGAAUACCGAUGGCGAAGGCAGCCAUCUGGCCUAAUACUGACACUGAGGUGCGAAAGCAUGGGGAGCAAACAGGAUUAGAUACCCUGGUAGUCCAUGCCGUAAACGAUGUCUACUAGCCGUUGGGGCCUUUGAGGCUUUAGUGGCGCAGCUAACGCGAUAGUAGACCGCCCUGGGGAGUACGGUCGCAAGACUAAAAACUCAAAUGAAAUUGACGG